GUUAUUAUUGAGAUCGGCUCUCAAGUUCUGUUGUUGUCGCGCGGCGCGCCGCUCGCGCUGAUAACGCGAUGCCACGCCGGCCUGCACACGCGCAUGCUCAGCUUUAAGCUCGCUCGCUCUAUCUCAACCCCAGUGAUGGAAUGGAUAUUCAAUGUUCAGUGGUACUGACUUGAACGGAUCUUGUGAUUGAUUUUUACAAGUUUGAACGUAGUGAUAACAGUGGAAACAAUUUGUGUUUUUAACUAACAUUCGUAUUUUCUUAAGGAUUCUCGGACUUUUUUUAUAUUUUAUUAGUAAAAGUGCUAUUCCCCUAAAAAUAGUAAGCAUUGCCGAGGGAUAAUAUCAAGUCGUUUUCUUAUAAAAAGAGUACAAAAAACGCCGCCAAACUGUCUACCGCAAAUGAGAUUAUCCCCAGUUUCCACGUCCAAGCGCUAAUAGGUCGGUGGCGCACGAGCCCGAU
rnacentral:misc_RNA from 1 species